rnacentral:rRNA from 1 species
CCUACGGGAGGCUGCAGUGAGGAAUAUUGGUCAAUGGACGAGAGUCUGAACCAGCCAAGCAGCGUGAAGGAUGACUGCCCUAUGGGUUGUAAACUUCUUUUAUAUGGGAGUAAAUCGUUCCUUGUGUGGGAUUUUGUAUGUACCAUCUGAAUAAGGAUCGGCUAACUCCGUGCCAGCAGCCGAGGUAUUACGGAGGAUACGAGCGUUAUCCGGAUUUAUUGGGUUUAAAGGGAGCGUAGGUGGAUUGUUAAGUCAGUAGUGAAAGUUUGCGGCUCAACCGUCAAAUUGCAGUUGAAACUGGCAGUCUUGAGUACAGGAGAGGUAGGCGGAAUUCGUGGUGUAGCGGUGAAAUGCGUAGAUAUCGCGAGGAACACCGGUGGCGAAGGCGGCUCACUGGACUGCAACUGACACUGAGGCUCGAAAGUGUGGGGAGCAAACAGGAUUAGAUACCCGAGUAGUC